CCUGGCGGCACUAGCGCGGUGGUCCCACCUGACCCCAUGCCGAACUCAGAAGGGAAACGCCGUAGCGCCGAUGGUAGUGUGGGGUCUCCCCAUGCGAGAGUAGGGAACUGCCAGGC
rnacentral:rRNA from 1 species